CGAGUCCGAGAAAUAAUUUAUAUCAUUCUAACCUAACUUUAGUUAAGGAAAUGUGUUUAUGCAUACGAAUUUGCAAAUCUGACUACCUUCUGCCAAUUGCUUGGCCCAGCAUAAUCGGCCUUCUGUAUAGAGUCUACAUACCUAAAAGUAUCCACAAGUUGAAGUA